rnacentral:misc_RNA from 1 species
UGAGGAGCUUGCUCAAAUGGUGGUAUUGCCUGAUUCAGAUGUUGACAUGAGACGUUUGGUGAAGAAAACACACAAGGGCGAGUUCCAAGUAGAAGUUGAACCCCAGGAUAGUGUCUCUGUGGAGGUUGCCAUUGGGGCAAGUUCACUCGCUCGUACACGACCCAAACUAAAGGAGAAGGAAGCCUCUUCGCCCUCUAAACCUGAUCAAAAGAAAGAUAAAGGAAAUGCUACUAGUGAAAAAAAUAGUUCAGAGGACCGGAAUGUUCUCAUGAUACCUUCUAGUGAAGGGAGUGACUUGAUGCAAGGGCUUAUGGUGGAUGAUGAGCUUAAAGAUGCAGAAUUUCUUCCUCCAAUUGUUUCCCUUGAUGAGUUCAUGGAGUCCCUUAAUUCAGAGCCACCAUUUGAAAA